rnacentral:tRNA from 1 species
UAGAAGAUGGUGUAGGGGAAGCACGAGGAGUUUUGAUCUCCUAGGCUUGGGUUCAAGUCCCUUUCUUUUAA